UCUUUUUGCUACAUAUUAACAUUGGGAAGUUUUCCUUUGCUUUUGAGAGAGAGAAACUGGAGAAAUGGCCUUUUGUGCAGAUUCCUGUUAAGGAAGUACCACUCAAAACUCAAACUCUCUGUCAAAGAAAAAUUGCACUAGAGUUAAACAGGCAAAGAAGACCUUAUUCAAGACUGCAAUAAGGGAGAGAGAUUGAGCUCAACUCAGCUGAAACAAAAGGCAGUUCUGGAGUCUGGGAAGUCCAAGAUCAAGAUGCCGGCAUAUUUGGUUCCUGGUGAGGGCUCUCUUCCUGACUUGCAAAUCCUACAUGGUCGAGUCCCUCUUUCUCUACUUAUAAGGACACUAAUCCCAUUAUAGGGGUCCUAUCCUCAUGACUUCACUUACACUUGAGUAUCUUUCAAAGGCCUCAUCUUCAAAUACCAUCACACUGAACAUCAGGGUGUUAACACAGGAAUUUAAAGCAAAGAAGAUAAAAAGGGGGAUAUGAUUAAAGACAAGAUCAUAGACAGAGAUUUGAAGGAUAUCUAAUGAAGACCUACCACACUGAUAAUUUGGUGUUUCUUAUGAUGUGAACAGAUAUGAAUCAGCUUGAUGGGGGCAUUCAGAGGCAUAACAAAGAACAAUCCUAAGCCAGAAAAAGUCUGAACCAGCAGUCAAAUGGGCCCACUCCAUAACAAAGUUAACAAAAAUUGAUAAAAAAAAAAUCCAGACAUAGCUAAGCUUUGGAAUUUUGAGAGACCUAUGAGAAUCCAGGGAGGAAAAAAAUACCUACCAGUAAAGGAGGAAAAUAUUUAACUGGUCUCAGACUUAAAAUAUAAUGUACCAAAAAAUAAUGAAGCAAUACCUAAAGUGUUUAAGGGGGUUUUGAUUCUCAUUCCUUCUAACUGCAUGUCAAAGCAGGUGGUUUUUAUUUAUAAAGACAGUGAAAACAAUCCCAGAUACAUAAGGACUCUGGUAGUAUUUGUUCUUCAUACUCUAUCAUAAAAAAUUACUUAAAGCAUUACUUUCAUCCACUGGAAUACAAUUUAAAGUAAUAAACUAUAAUCAGGAAGUCACAAUGCCAGAGGAAUGACAGUAAAUGCAGGAACUACUUGAAAAUAGAAUGAGUUCUAAAUAAAUAUCAUAAAUGUGAUUUGAAAAAACUAUGCAGAUGUUAACAUUUUAAAAAGAGAAGGUAUAGAAUGUAGCAGAAACCAACAAUGACAAUAAAAUAUGACAAUCUCAAAUCAUGCUAAAAUAAAGAAUUUGAUGAGUGUAUUUCUUCUCUCUCUCUCUCUUUUUUUUUUUUGAGACAGAGCCUCACUUUAUUGUCCAGGCUGGGGUGCAGUGAGCCAAUCUCAGCUCACUGCACACUCUGCCUCCCAGGCUCAAGUGAUUCUCAUACCUCAGCUUCUUGAGUAGUUGAGACUACAGGUGUGUGUCACCACAUCAGACUAAUUUUUGUGUUUUUAGUAGAGAUGGCAUUUUGCCGUGUUGGCCAGGCUGGUCCGAAACUCCUGGCCUCAAGCAAUCCACCUGCCUUGGUCUCCCAAAGUUCUGGGAUUACAUGUGUGGGCCACAGUGCCCAACGGAAGGGUGUAUUUCUUAACCCUAUAUAGGAAAGAGAAAUUUGUUUUCUUUUGUUUUGUUGAGAUGGAGUCUCACUCUGUCACCCAGGCUGGAGCGUAAUGGCACAGGUUCGGCUCACUGCAAUCUCCGCCUCUCAGGUUCAAUGGAUUCUCUUGCCUCAGCCUCCUGAGUAGCUGGGAUUACAAGUGCCUGCCACCUCACCUGGCUGAUUUUUAGUAGAGACAGGGUUUUACCAUGUUGGCCAGGCUGGUCUCAAACUCCUGACCUCAUGAUCUGCCCACCUCAGCCUCCCAAAGUGCUGGGAUUUUGGAUGUGAGCCACCACAGACAUCUUGGAAAGAGAAAAAAUUUUAAAAAUCAACUGAUAUUGUACUUAGAAAAAUAUGGACUUACAUUUUGUUUUUUAUAACUUUAAAAGUUAUCACAAAUAAAAAUAAAACCUAACUAUGUAACCAUUAAAUUAGUGGAGAAGAAAAAUAAAGCAAAAAUAAAAAGCAAUUAGAAGAUUUUAAAAAACCCACGUAAAACAAAGUAUCAGGAAUAAGGCCAACCAUGCUUGACAUGGUAAUAAUUAUAAAUGGCAUAAAGUUAAUUUCAUAAAACAUAUCAGAUUGACUCCCAAACCAAAAUGGAACUAUAUACUAUCAAUAAGAGACACACCUAAAAUUCAGUGCCUCAGAAAAACUACAAUUACAAGAUAAAAUAUUUUCUAGAAGUGAAAAUGUAAAGAAAGUUGGGCUGCAAUAUUUGAAGAAGAUGUGGAUUUUAAAAUAUAAAAUAUUAAGUUUAUCAUAGGUAGAAUGAUGUGUUAUAAUGGAGGGAAUUACCAAAAAAUGAAAAUAAAAUUUUCAUCAACCUGCAUGUAACAGAAU